GCCCCUGUAGUGUAGCUCGGUCAAUCAUUUUGCCCUUUCGAGGCAAAGACUCGGGUUCAAAUCCCGACGGGGGCA
rnacentral:tRNA from 1 species